UGUUUUGGCUGCCCCAUACUGGUCUUGCCUGCUCUCAGAAGCUAAGCAGUGUUGACCCAGGUUAGUACAUGGAUGGGAGACUGAAAAUAUCAGAUACUAUAGGCUAGACUGGGAAGCUGAAAAAU
rnacentral:rRNA from 1 species